GAUGAACGCUGGCGGCGUGCCUAAUACAUGCAAGUCGAGCGAACAGACGAGGAGCUUGCUCCUCUGACGUUAGCGGCGGACGGGUGAGUAACACGUGGAUAACCUACCUAUAAGACUGGGAUAACUUCGGGAAACCGGAGCUAAUACCGGAUAAUAUAUUGAACCGCAUGGUUCAAUAGUGAAAGACGGUUUUGCUGUCACUUAUAGAUGGAUCCGCGCCGCAUUAGCUAGUUGGUAAGGUAACGGCUUACCAAGGCGACGAUGCGUAGCCGACCUGAGAGGGGGAGCGGCCACACGGGAAAUGAGACACGGUCCAGACGCCUACGGGAGGCAGCAGUAGGGAAUCUUCCACAAUGGGCGAAAGCCUGACGGAGCAAAUCCGCGUGAGUGAUGAAGGUCUUCGGAUCGUAACACUCUGUUAUUAGAGAAGAACAAAUGUGUAAGUAACUAUGCACGUCUUGACGGUACCUAAUCAGAAAGCCACGGCUAACUACGUG
rnacentral:rRNA from 1 species